rnacentral:tRNA from 1 species
UCCCUGGUGGCUCAGAGGUUAAAGCAUCUUCCUGCAAUGCGGGAGACCCGGGUUUGAUUCCCGGGUUGGGAA